rnacentral:lncRNA from 1 species
GUGGACUGCUGCCUGGGUCUGGCUGCUCAGCCUCAAGCUCUGCUUCUCCCUCUCGGGCGCGUUGCAGGCAUGGCGUGCACGGGCAUAAAGCCAGAGGACUGCAUGCCCUUCAUGCCUUUUUUGGUGGCCCUGCUGGUGUGCUGCUUGGGCUGGACCCCGGUAGGAGCCAUUGCUGGGGCAGAGCCCAGCCCUGGUCGGCAGGGGGGGGUCGGCAGGGGGGGUCGGCAGGGCCUGGGAGCAGCCCCGGGGACAGGCUGGGGGGGCCCGGCCUGGCCGGGGAGGCCAGUUCCCAGCCGGGCCCUGCCCAGCCUGGGCCAGGAGGCUCGGGGCAGGCACAGGGCUGGCCCUGGCGGGGUCGGGGUCUUUGCUGGUGCCCCUGAGGCGGCGGGGAACGCUCCCCUCUCACCCACUGCUUUCCGUCCUCUGCAGGGAGCGACACCACGGAAGUGCCGAUGUGGAGGCAAGAAGGGGAAAGGCCGAGGUGUGCAGCCCCGGGGCAAGGGCCAGCGCCCUGCGAAGACCCCACCUGUCCCCACGUGCCCACUGCCCCAACCGGGGAUGGCCUCUCCCCUCACUCUGUCCCCUGGGUCUUCAGACUCUGUCCUCCUGGAGCCUUCACAGCCCAUGAGGAUGAACUGGCCCAUGCACCCAGACAUGGAUGGUUUGAGUGAAACGGAUGAGCAAUUAAACAGGACUAUCAAGGACUUUGAAAGACACCUGGAAUCGUUCAACUGUGAGACCGUUGAAGGCAGAGACAGCUCUCUAACUUCCACCAUGGGCCUCACCCAUGAAUCCACACUGGAGCAAGAACUGGACCUGACGGUGACUGUAAAAACUCUACAAGAUGUUCCAGCCUCAGCUCCUCCUAGACCCCACCAACCAGAAAACCGUGGUGUGGUGGUUCCGAUCGUGUCGGAUCCGCCCUUCCGGGUGGGGAGGGGUCAUCUGGUGAUAGAAUAAUUGUCCAAACGGUGAUGAAUUGUUGUGAAUUCUUCAAACCAUAAGACUUCAGAA